GAUCUCGUCGUCCGUCAGGGUCAUGUUGACCACGCUGGCCACGCCCCCAGCAUUCAGCACGCACGGCAGGCUCAAGUACACCUCGUCAUCGAUCCCGUACAUGCCCUGUCGAGCAACGGCAUCAUCUCCUUGAGUUUUGUGCAUAGGAUCCAUCCGUUGAAGCUGGUCGCAUGGAUGCCCAGUUUUUCAGCCAUCAGGUAACGGAAACGGGCAGAGUCCAGGUUGGUGCCGCUGCCAAUGACACGGUGCUUGGGCAGGCCGCUCAACUUCCAGGUCACGUAGGUUCAACCUGCUCUCUCCCUCCUGCUGACGAACGCCCGCAGUUACCACGACGAUACGAGAGUUCGCCGUCACAGAGUAGUCUGACCGUGGGAGAAUAUCAAAUCAAUGAGAACAUUUGACAUGCAGUUUGUGUCCAUCUUGGUUUUAUGGUCUCCUGGUGACCAAUUGCUACACACUCACCUUUGCUGGCGACUAUCUUGGGCGUUUUGAGGAAGAGGCUGCCAUGCUGCAGAUCCAUCAUC